rnacentral:rRNA from 1 species
UGCAAGUCGAGCGGUAAGGCCCUUCGGGGUACACGAGCGGCGAACGGGUGAGUAACACGUGGGUGAUCUGCCCUGCACUUCGGGAUAAGCCUGGGAAACUGGGUCUAAUACCGGAUAUGACCAAAGGCUGCAUGGCUUUUGGUGGAAAGGUUUACUGGUGCAGGAUGGGCCCGCGGCCUAUCAGCUUGUUGGUGGGGUAAUGGCCUACCAAGGCGACGACGGGUAGCCGACCUGAGAGGGUGACCGGCCACACUGGGACUGAGACACGGCCCAGACUCCUACGGGAGGCAGCAGUGGGGAAUAUUGCACAAUGGGCGAAAGCCUGAUGCAGCGACGCCGCGUGAGGGAUGAAGGCCUUCGGGUUGUAAACCUCUUUCAGCAGGGACGAAGCGAAAGUGACGGUACCUGCAGAAGAAGCACCGGCUAACUACGUGCCAGCAGCCGCGGUAAUACGUAGGGUGCGAGCGUUGUCCGGAAUUACUGGGCGUAAAGAGUUCGUAGGCGGUUUGUCACGUCGUCUGUGAAAACCCACCGCUCAACGGUGGGCCUGCAGGCGAUACGGGCAGACUUGAGUACUGCAGGGGAGACUGGA